ensembl:misc_RNA Metazoa_SRP Metazoan signal recognition particle RNA
GCCGGGUGUGGCGGUGCACGCCUGUAAUCCCAGCUACGCAGGAGGCUGAGGUGGGAGAAUCACUUGAACUCAGGAGGCGAAAGUUGCAGUGAGCCGAGAUCGUACCACUGCACUCCAGCCUGGGUGACAGAGCGAGACCCCAUCUCAA